ACCGCUAUAGCGCAGUGGUAGCGCACUGGUCUCGCAAACCAUGGGUUCGUGAGUUCAAACCUCACUGGCGGCA
rnacentral:tRNA from 1 species